GGGGAUCAGAUACUAUAUUUUAAAUACUUUAACCUUUUAGACAGAUGAGUAACUUGUACGACUUUUCUUCUUUCACGCGGCCGUUUUUUGAUAAAAAUUCUCAGGGGUAUGCAGGGUGUUUUCAAUUUCACAUGGUCCAGCCGUUUAAAUUUAGAGCAUUAAGACAACUUCUUGGUGAACAGCAAGAGGAAAUAUCAUCACAUGAUCAGUUAAAAAUAGUAAAUAAUAACACAGGACACAAAUAAUGAGACACAGGAAUCUAAUUGAGGAAGUCCACUGUUGUGCCUGUACAGUGUUGUGACACAGAGUACUGAGGAGCAGUCUGUAGUUUUCUGACUAUGGAUCCCGCUAUCUUUAUUCUGCUUCUCUUUUCAGGUUGUCACUUAUCAAGUGGACAGGACAGAGUAGACGCAUCAGGAAUGGUUUUGCUGCGAUUGCCUUUUAAUCCGUAUUUCAAUAAUUAUGAAAAGCUCCGCUGCAAAUUUUACCAAAGUGUUUGUGUCAUGGUACGGGUAGGGGGGACCCAAACACAGAUAGAAAAAAACACAAACUCAAAAAGGGAAAAUUAACAAAGAUUUUACUUACAUGACAGGGGACAAAAAAAUAGGAAACCAAAAGGCCACACAGGGCACUACCAAAAACACAAAACAGAAAACUCAAAAUUCAAAACACACACAGAGCAGAACACAGGUAGGACAGAAACCAGGCAGGAACUAACAGGCAGAACACACAGGUGGAAACUCAGUCACACACACAAGCAGGUCAAAGCACAGGCAGGCAGAUACAUGAAGGUCAAACAAACACAAACAGGUCAAAAACGCAGGCAGGUACAAACGGU